UACGAAGGGUGCUAGCGUUGCUCGGAAUCACUGGGCGUAAAGCGCACGUAGGCGGCUUUCUAAGUCAGGGGUGAAAUCCUGGAGCUCAACUCCAGAACUGCCUUUGAUACUGGAAAGCUUGAGUUCGGGAGAGGUGAGUGGAACUGCGAGUGUAGAGGUGAAAUUCGUAGAUAUUCGCAAGAACACCAGUGGCGAAGGCGGCUCACUGGCCCGGUACUGACGCUGAGGUGCGAAAGCGUGGGGAGCAAACAGG
rnacentral:rRNA from 1 species